CCUGGAUCGUUCUAGUGAAAGGCCCAAAGAAAUAAAGGGAAACAAUGAAAAGUCGCUCCUGCCUCCUAUCUCGGUCUCCCACACAAUUGACGAACAGAAACGUCGCACAGAGAGAAGAAAUAAUGAACGACGGGUUUGCAGGUUGGAAAUCACGCUGUCCUAGCCUCAAUCGUCGCCUGAAUCGUCGAUUGGUUACAGAGAAUCAGAGAUAUGAAAUAGUUAAUUGUCUGACUAAAGUUGAAGGAGUAUCGGAUGAUAAUUUCCGGACAAGUAAACCAAAGAGUCGGCCGAGGUGUGCCGAAUUUCUGGCUUACUGCAAUGAAGUCAAAUGAAGUUCUAGCUGAUGAGGUGAUUGCCGGUCCCAAGCCCGGAUAAAGGAGGAGGGUUUUGUUACUAAAUAUGUUGAAAAUGUUAAUUUUGCAAAAGGGCCACCACUUCGUAGUUCAAUUAGGGCCUCCGAAAACAUAGGAACGGCUCUGAAAGCAUGGCUAAUUUACAUAUGAGUGAAGGAAUCAAGAAGCUCUAUUAGACAAACUACAAGACAUGGGUGACUUGCAUGAAGUCCUAACUCCAAGGACAGGAUCGCUGGCAAGUCACGAAUGGAAUUGAUACACGGGUACCCACCAACGCCAUAAACAGAGCAGUCAGGAAGUGGAAGAUUAAGACGGGUCGUGUUAUGUUUGUUAUCAAGACAACUAUAAAAGUGGAGAUUCUUGAUCAUCUUAAAGAUAUUGAGCAUCUGAAACAGGAUGAGUU